rnacentral:rRNA from 1 species
GCUUAACACAUGCAAGUCGAGCGAAAACCAGUCCUUCGGGACUGGGGAAAGAGGCGAACGGGUGAGUAACACGUGGGUAAUCUGCCCUCGGCACUGGGACAGCCCGGGGAAACCCGGAUUAAUACCGGAUAGCCUUUCGAGUUCUCGGACUCGUCAGAAAAGGUGGCUUCGGCUACUGGCUGAGGAUGAGCCCGCGGCGGAUUAGCUUGUUGGCGGGGUAAUGGCCCACCAAGGCGACGAUCCGUAGCUGGUCUGAGAGGACGAUCAGCCACACUGGGACUGAGACACGGCCCAGACUCCUACGGGAGGCAGCAGUGGGGAAUCUUGCGCAAUGGGCGAAAGCCUGACGCAGCGACGCCGCGUGCGGGAAGAAGGCCUUCGGGUUGUAGACCGCUUUCAGGAGGGACGAAGCCACUCGGGUUAAUAGCCCAGAGGGUGACGGUACCUCCAGAAGAAGCCCCGGUAAUUACGUGCCAGCCGCCGCGGUAAUAC